UGAGGAAUUUUGCGCAAUGGCCGCAAGGCUGACGCAGCAACGCCGCGUGGGUGAAGAAGGCCUUCGGGUCGUAAAGCCCUGUCAGGUGGGAAGAACGAUUCGGGGAGUAAUACGCCCCGGAUGUGACGGUACCACCAGAGGAAGCACCGGCUAACUCCGUGCCAGCAGCCGCGGUAAUACGGAGGGUGCAAGCGUUAUUCGGAAUUACUGGGCGUAAAGCGCGUGCAGGCGGGCGAGCAAGUAUGAUGUGAAAGCCUCGGGCUUAACCUGGGAAUGGCAUUGGAAACUGUUCGUCUUGAGUUCUGGAGAGGAAGGGGGAAUUCCCGGUGUAGAGGUGAAAUUCGUAGAGAUCGGGAGGAAUACCAGUGGCGAAGGCGCCCUUCUGGACGGCAACUGACGCUGAGACGCGAAAGCGUGGGGAGCAAACA
rnacentral:rRNA from 1 species